UACAGAGGGGGCAAGCGUUGUUCGGAAUUACUGGGCGUAAAGGGCGCGUAGGCGGCCUGUUAAGUCGAACGUGAAAUCCCUGGGCUCAACCCAGGAACUGCGUCCGAUACUGGCAGGCUUGAAUUCGGGAGAGGGAUGCGGAACUCCAGGUGUAGCGGUGAAAUGCGUAGAUAUCUGGAGGAACACCGGUGGCGAAGGCGGCAUCCUGGACCGAUAUUGACGCUGAGGCGCGAAAGCCAGGGGAGCAAACGGG
rnacentral:rRNA from 1 species